rnacentral:rRNA from 1 species
GCAUGAAGCUGGAAUCGCUAGUAAUCGCGGAUCAGAAUGCCGCGGUGAAUACGUUCCCGGGUCUUGUACACACCGCCCGUCACACCAUGGGAGUAGGUAAUGCCCGAAGUCGGUGACCUAACCGGAAGGAAGGAGCCGCCGAAGGCAGGACUUAUAACUGGGGUGAAGUCGUAACAAGGUAAC